AUUGAACGCUGGCGGCAGGCCUAACACAUGCAAGUCGAGCGAGCGGCGGACGGGUGAGUAAUGUAUGGGGAACUGCCCGAUAGAGGGGGAUAACUACUGGAAACGGUAGCUAAUACCGCAUACUAUCGGAUGAACCCAUAUGGGAUUAGCUAGUAGGUGGGGUAACGGCUCACCUCGGCGACGAUCCCUAGCUGGUCUGAGAGGAUGACCAGCCACACUGGAACUGAGACACGGUCCAGACUCCUACGGGAGGCAGCAGUGGGGAAUAUUGCACAAUGGGCGCAAGCCUGAUGCAGCCAUGCCGCGUGUAUGAAGAAGGCCUUAGGGUUGUAAAGUACUUUCAGCGGGGAGGCGUUACCGGCAGAAGAAGCACCGGCUAACUCCGUGCCAGCAGCCGCGGUAAUAC
rnacentral:rRNA from 1 species